GGGUCAGUAGGUUGGUCGUGCCACCGGUACGUACUGGUCUCACUGAUUCCUCCUUCCUGAAGAACCGUAAUGCCAUUAAUGUGGUGUUGCGGGGAAACAGGACUGUUACUUUGAAAAAAUUAGAGUGUUUAGAGCAAGCUAACGCUUGAAUACAUUAGCAUGGAAUAAUGAAAUAGGACGAUCGAUCCUAUUUUGUUGGUUUCUAGGAUUGACGUA
rnacentral:rRNA from 1 species